ACGUUUGGAACCACAACUUUAUCAGGAUUUUCAUUCCAAGACUCCGGAACUAGUUUCAAUGCUUUCACUUGUGUUGGUAACGAAGAUAAUGUAUAUCUAUUUGGGAGUGAUAACAGUCUCUUUCAACCUGGCGGCAUUCCUCUAUACCAUUAUCUGUGUAUGAGAAUUACAAAAGUAACUGAAAAUUCAUAUUAUUAUUACUUAUUAGCAG